UUAGCUUUAUUCAUAUGCCCUUCAUAAUACAACAGUAUACUUAUUAAUGGUGCUGAUUCCAGAUUAUGCUUCAAGAAAUUUUUAGAAAUGGAAAUUUUUUUAGAAAUGGAAGGUUGACACCGACAUUCGGAUCAGAUUAUCACUCCAUGGUGAUAGGUCUUGAGUUUUGACUACACUGCCCUAAAAUGCAUUUACAGCAAAUAAUCAAAUCCUUAUGAAAUAAUGGUAAUUGUUGCAAGCCAGUAUAGUAUCUUUGACGUCCCUUUACAUUCAUUUGCUCAAUUGCAUGGAACAAUGGAUUAAUGACUCAUCUAGUAUUGAUUUUUUUUUUGCAUUUUUUUUAUAAAGUUAUACGUAGUACAGUACUGUAUUUCAUUUCAUUAAUCAGGCACGAAUAAUUACACCCUGAUCGGCGUGCAUGUGUAGCACUGUCAGUUAGAGACGGUCAUUGCUACUUGCCAGCAGCAAGACUAUAAACAAGCCAUGACCCUGCAGACAUAGCUUGAACAGUCCUUCCUGCUUGCCAGACUAACAGACAGCCCUUGCUACUUUGCCAGCACCUGUUUCUGCAUCCCUGCUUGCCCCCUGUUCCAAGAGCCUUGUAGAGCCCUUCUGUUGGAAGACUGCUAUUGCUACUGUGCACUUACUGGUGAAGGCUGCUAUUGUAUGUGAUUUCAGGUUUGCUAAUUUAGGGUAUCUAGACUCUUAAUAAGUUGUUUGUUCCACUUCAUAUUGACAUGAAUUGAACACAGAUGAAAAAUUAGUAUAACAUGUCAGUAUAACAUGUCAAAGAGAAGACAAACUUACAACAGAAGUUGUAUAUGUUUCGGGAACUACUAACACAGCAAACCUGAAAUCACAUAUGGUUUUUUUUAUAUAUAUACAUACAUAUAUGUUUUUAGACAAUCAUUUAUACUGCUACUAUGGCUCUUUUUCCUUGUGUAGUUGUGUAUGCGUCUAAAAUACUGCUUCUAAACAGAAAAGAGAAACAAUCAUGGCUAUUUUUCCUUGUGUACUACCACGAACAUAUGCAUCUUUUUCCAGACAAGCUCAAUCCAAAUACAAUUGGCUGGUAAA
rnacentral:lncRNA from 1 species